rnacentral:rRNA from 1 species
GUCGAGAAGCUUCGGCAAUGGGGGAAACCCUGACCGAGCGACGCCGCGUGCGCGAUGAAGGCCCUUGUGGUUGUAAAGCGCUGUCAGGAGGAGAUAAAGCGCAGAGGUGAAUACCCUCUGCGUCUGAAGGUACCUCCAAAGGAAGCUCCGGCUAACUCCGUGCCAGCAGCCGCGGUAAUACGGAGGGAGCGAACGUUGUUCGGAUUUACUGGGUGUAAAGGGUGCGUAGGCGGCCCCGUGUGUCGGAGGUGAAAUCCAGCGGCUCAACCGCUGGCCUGCCCCCGAAACUGCAGGGCUUGAGUCCGUGAGAGGAAGGCGGAAUUCCUGGUGUAACGGUGAAAUGUGCAGAUAUCAGGAAGAACACCCGUAGCGAAGGCGGCCUUCUGGUGCGGUACUGACGCUGAGGCACGAAAGCUAGGGUAUCGAACGGGAUUAGAUACCCUAGUAGUCC